rnacentral:rRNA from 1 species
GACGAACCGUGCGAACGUUAUUCGGAAUCACUGGGGCUUAAAGCGCACGUAGGCGGAUUGCUAAGUCAGGGGGUGAAAUCCUGGAGCUCAACUCCAGAACUGCCUUUGAUACUGGCGAUCUCGAGUCCGGGAGAGGUGAGUGGAACUGCGAGUGUAGAGGUGAAAUUCGUAGAUAUUCGCAAGAACACCAGUGGCGAAGGCGGCUCACUGGCCCGGUACUGACGCUGAGGUGCGAAAGCG